GAUGAACGCUAGCUACAGGCUUAACACAUGCAAGUCGCGUGGCAGCAUGGGGGUUGCUUGCAAUCCCCGAUGGCGACCGGCGCACGGGUGAGUAACGCGUAUCCAACCUGCCCUUCACCACGGGCUAACCCGGCGAAAGUCGGACUAAUACCGUAUGUUUUCCAUUGACGGCAUCCGAUUUGGACGAAAGGCUUGGCGGUGAGGGAUGGGGAUGCGUCCGAUUAGCUAGACGGCGGGGUAACGGCCCACCGUGGCUACGAUCGGUAGGGGUUCUGAGAGGAAGGGCCCCCACACUGGAACUGAGACACGGUCCAGACUCCUACGGGAGGCAGCAGUGAGGAAUAUUGGUCAAUGGGCGUAAGCCUGAACCAGCCAAGUAGCGUGCAGGAUGACGGCCCUAUGGGUUGUAAACUGCUUUUAUGCGGGGAUAAAGUGGCCCACGGGUGGGCUUUUGCAGGUACCGCAUGAAUAAGGACCGGCUAAUUCCGUG
rnacentral:rRNA from 1 species